rnacentral:rRNA from 1 species
GUCGUUGUCGUCAGCUCGUGUCGUGAGAUGUUCGGUUAAGUCCCGCUAACGAGCGCAACCCUCGCUGUGUGUUAUAUGUGUCACACGGGACUGCCGGUCUUAAGCCGGAGGAAGGUGGGGAUGAUGUCAAGUCCUCAUGGCCCUUAUGGGUAGGGCUUCACACGUCAUACAAUGGUCGGUACAGAGGGUUGCCAAGCCGCGAGGUGGAGCCAAAUCCCUUAAAGCCGAUCGUAGUCCGGAUCGUAGUCUGCAACUCGACUACGUGAAGUCGGAAUCGCUAGUAAUCGUGGAUCAGAAUGUCACGGUGAAUACGUUCCCGGGUCUU